rnacentral:rRNA from 1 species
ACCUCGCGAGAGCAAGCGGAACUCAUAAAGUACGUCGUAGUCCGGAUUGGAGUCUGCAACUCGACUCCAUGAAGUCGGAAUCGCUAGUAAUCGUAGAUCAGAAUGCUACGGUGAAUACGUUCCCGGGCCUUGUACACACCGCCCGUCACACCAUGGGAGUGGGUUGCAAAAGAAGUAGGUAGCUUAACCUUCGGGAGGGCGCUUACCACUUUGUGAUUCAUGACUGGGGUGAAGUCGUAACAAGGUAACCGUAGGGGAACCUGCGGUUGGAUCACCUCCUUA